AAAUUCCAACCGUCAACUCCAACUUCACUGGUCAUAUCAUCCGUCCAGCAUUCGAAUUCGAUCACCCAAAUAAACCAUCCGGUCUUCCUUUUUAAUUACAGUUAUCAUGAAUGGGAAUGAAGUUUAGAAAACAAAAAAAAAAAGAAGAAUGAUUGAAAGUUAGUUGAGGUUGCCAAAAUUUUGCAAACCUACCAGACAAACAACCUCCACCUUCCAAUUUAAUUGUGGCGCCCCGCCCCGCCCAGCCCCCAAUACGUAUUGCUACUCCCUACAGCAUUCUUGCUCCGGGACUAUUUCCAAGUGCAGCGCGCACGCAUUGUAAAACCCAUUCUUUCUUUCUUAAUUCCGGGUAUAGUAGUGCCUCAAUACUGUUCCUGCUAUCUACGAUGUGGCGGUCACUUUGGCCUACAAUCGACCGCUUCUCUCUUCACCACUUCAGAUAUAUUGUAAACCAACUGCGGGAAAUCAGAGUCGUUGACAAGCGCAACCGGGAAGUAGUUUUGGAUUUGCUUCAAUCAAUUGUGGAAAUAGUUACCUAUGGUGAUCGGCAUGAUCCAGCGAUUUUCGAAUGUUUCAUGGAAUUUCAAGUUUUAGCAGAGUUUGUUCGUAUACUAAAGAUUGGUGGGAAUUCAGGAAUUGAGGCAGCACUCUUGCAGUAUUUGAGCAUAAUGAUCCAGAACGUGGAAAAUGAACAUGCCAUCUACUAUUGUUUCAGCAAUGGCUAUAUCAACAGCGUAAUAUCACAUCAUUAUGAGUUCGAUGGGGGAGAUCUAAUUCCUUAUUAUGUAUCCUUUCUGAGGACACUGCAAUCUCAUUGCCGUUGUAUGAUGAGGCUCUUAAAUUUGCUAACCAUGGGGAAAAGAUGAUACAGAUAGCAGUUCGUGCACUGACCCUUAACAUUUAUAGUGUUGCUGAUGAGAUGGUCUAUCAAUUUCUAACAACUCCGACUGCUUCUGCAUACUUUUCUAGCUUGAUUCUGAAUUUAAAAAAUAAGUGCUUGCAUGUUGAUGCAAUCAUCAAUGGGGUAAAGGAGAGUUUCCAUGAAAAGAAAAGAGAACUUCUUUCAGAAACUGAUAGAAUUUUGGAUGACUUCUAUUACCUGAAGGACAUACUGUGCAUUCCUGAGCAGCGCUUGAACAAACUUGUUACAGAGAACAUUGUUAACAUGCUUAUUUUGCCGAUGUUGCUUACUCUACUAAACAAUAGGCUAAGCAAUGUGAGAUAUUAUUCAGUUAGGCUUUGUUAUUUUGAUAUUUUGUCUCCUCAAUCUACUGGACUUCAUCAGAGGUGCAUUUUUUGGCUCAUAAUUUUUGGGGAAAACUAUUUUCCAGAGGAUCAAUGUAGUUUCUAAUAAAUAAUGAAGAGGAUGAGCAUAUAAAGUCUCUUGCCACUGACAUUGGUUAGAAGAAACACUUGAAGAAUUUUAACUAGUAAGCAAUUAAAGUUAUGGAGGGAUUGUAGUACUAUUAGUUCUCUCUCUCUCUUUCUGGGUAAGUGGGAGGUCUUGAACUCAAGAUCUCCUACUUACAAUCCUUCCCACCUUAUCACCCACCCAACCCUCCCCUCCGUAGUACUAUUACCCGUUGUUAUGCUUUUAUGUAGCGAAAAUAAUUUAUUAUCAUUCCAUCCCAGCGCAUGUUAUUAUUCUUGCAGAUAUUCAUUUGCAUUUCCUUCAGUGCUGUUCCUUCUGCACUCUAUCUGAAACCAUCAAAAUCAAUUUUCAUCCAAACAAAUAUUUCUUUGUGGUUCAGAAAGGCAUUUACAAACGUGGAGUCAUUUGUAUAUGUGCACAAUAAAGUUUGAUAUUUAAGUGUUUUACAAGAAUAAUAUCUCAACCUUUUUCAUUAUUCCUUCAGGACACUGGUCUAUCUGCAAUCACUUGUCUCUAUGUUCUUUGUCGUCUUCUUCAAGUUUUUGAUGGAACGAAUUUGGUUAAUGUUAUCGGCAGUGCUGUUCUAUUUUCUUUUAUGCCUCCAAAUGUGACAGAUGCUGCUGAGUCUGUUGUAUCUGCUAGACUUGAGCAGGUGAAUGGUCUUGCAGUCUGUUAUCAGGAAGGGGAAGAAAUGGUAGAUCUUCAGCAUGAGGGGGCAGAAAACUUCAUGAUGAACUAUGUUCUUAAGCAUUCAUUGGAGUUCACAGAACUGAGCUCUUGUUUUGACAGUUCACCGCUGGAGAAUUCGGAAAAUGAAUGGUUAGUGGUGGGUUUUAAUGUGAAUCCCUUUUUUUUUGCACUGUACAUGGAAUCAUGUAUUGGAUUUUGAAAGUAAUCUGUUAAUCUUGAUACCACCAGUUAAAUUAUUUAUUUAAGGUGCAUAAUAAAAUUAAUUUAGAGCUUUAGAAAGCUUUCAAAAGGUCUAGAAUAAAAAGGUGCAAUUAUUACAGCUGUUACAGAUGCAUGGCGUAUCACCAUAUCUGGGCAAAAAGUUUGGUGGUCAUAGAAGUGACAAACUAAGUGGCAUCAUUCACAAACAUUUGGAAGCCAUAAUGAUCAGCUGAAUAGUAGAUUAUGAAGGACUUUGCAUUUGUUCUUCUAUCUGUGUGUAAUACAUAGUGUUUUAUUUCUGCUGUUUGCUUCAUAUGCAAGUUCAUUUUGAUGCUUAAAAUUGCCUCUACUUAUUGAUCUUAUAUUAUAUGUGAAACAAGGGGGCUUGCGGAUCAGGUUUUCUUGAGAUCCUGGAUGGCUUUUAUCCUUAUCUAUGUCGUUUUUCAUUACUAUAUGUUUGGUACCUUCUCUCUUCUUUUCUAUCUGUUUUGAGUUCUGUACAAUAAAAGCGGCUCCUUGUGAAACUGAAUAAUAUGAUGCAAAAUUCUUGGAGAGGAUGACAAUAGAUGCGGUUAAUUGCCUAAUUUUAACAGUGAAUAAGAUGUUCAGUGCAUUUCAUUUUUUUUAUCUGCAAUUAAUUUGAGCCUUAUAAUUAUUUUUCUGAUGCAGAAAUUUCCAUUAGGCUUGUCCUGACGGUAACAAGAUUUGUAUUUGGAACAUUUUGCAGGGGUGGAAUAUUUAGUUGUAUUUUCUCCCGUAAUCACAGUCUAAUGCUAGGUUCUUUGAUGUUAUUGUUUACAGUGGCUGACAGUAAAGAUCUUCAUUACCAGUUGGCUGCAAAGAUAGGAUUUUCUCAAGUAAAGACUGCUUCAGAGAUGAUUGGAAGCACUGUUGCAGGACACAUACAGAAGAUUGUGAAUCAAUUAUUGAAGGUUUUGGCGAGUGAACCACCAUUGUCAGUACCAAUAUUGUUGCAUGCAGCUUGGUUUUUGCGAAAGUUGUUGGUUUUUCUGGACCAGAAGUUAGAGGACAAUGAUUGUCACCUCUUCAAGACCUCAUAUGAGGGCUCUUGUGGACGUCUUUAUGAAGAAUUUGAUCGAUGCUGGUUUGACUAUAUUCCAGAUGUGUUAAAAAGCGAAUGGGCCAACUGUAAAACAGGUAUGCAGUGUUUGUUUCAAAUUUUGCCAGCAAAGAAGAAAAGGCUUUCUGGAAAUUUGGGUCAUCAUCCUGCCUUGUGAUUUGUAUCAAGGAAUUUGAUUUGGUCCUUCUGGUGGUGUACGAUUUUACCAUUUUGUUUUCUCAUAAUGGGCUAUGUAAUCUUUUUUGAGCAUUUGUUUGCCUUGUGAGGCUACAGCACUCGAAGAAUCAUCACAGUCCAAGGAUCCUUUCUUUCUUCUAGAACUUGCAUCUAUUCAAAAUCCUCCCAGUGGUAGUAUGGCGUUUCUUCUACUCUCUUCCUUCCUUCUUUUAUUCAUAUUUCUUUUGUUUUAUCUCUGCUGUCUGCUUUUAAAAAGUAUAGUCUUACCACCUGCUAGUUUUCUAUUUAACAUCUCAGGCAAUACCGGUCCUGCUUUUGAUUGGCAACGGAUGGUUGAUUGUGUCAAGGUUAACAAUUAUCUUUUGAACUCUAAUCAUGGGAAUUACCUAACAGAUUUAAUCCUUCACCAUUAUGGUGUUUGGUUUUCAGAGUAUGUGAAAUUGAAUAGGUGAUGUUUAAUUUGGGAGGAAAUGCCUGAUAGUAAUAUUGAUACAAGUACCUACCAAGGAGGCUAAAUAAUGAUGACUGGUACUGUUUUUUCAGUGAUUUCCGGACCUUGUGGGAUGGGAAGUUCGAUAGAACUUUAGGUACAUGAUAUUCAGUCUCUUUAUAGAGCCAAGUUUAGGAGUAUGUCAGCCUUCUGUUUCAUCUGUGCCAUUUGGGUGUGAAUCAGACAAUUUUUUUUUGUGUCAGUUGUCACAGAAACCACAAAAAUGAUACUUGACUAAUUUUCACUGGCUUGUAAACUUGAUAGGUUUUUGUUCUCCAUCUUCAACUGAAGCCAUUUAUUUUUGGGGGUGAUCCUUUUGAUAAUCCUUUAGCAAAUUUGAAAAACAGCUACUUGGCUCAAUCGGGGAAAAGAUAUCCUUCGGAUCUUUCAUUGGCAAGCUUCGGUUCAGAGGUAGCUUUAGGUUCUGGAAUCCCCUGUAAAAUUGCAUUUUCUGGAGCUGGGACAAGAGAUAUUUAUGUGAUACCAAUUGCAAGGGAAAUAUCUGGUAAAUUGCUACUUGUGGAACGACAUCCGUUACACUCUAGAAAAGGAGUUGUAAUUGCCAUUGCUCCAUUGGCUGGAUUGGAUCCCAAGAUAGACGAGGAGCAUCCUACAUGGUUGCUAGUGCAUCUUAGAGACUUUGAGCCAAGACUCCGAUCAGAUGAAACGAAAACACUCGACUCCCAUACAUCACUCCCUGAACAAGGAAGAUGGAUACUUGGAUUUUUGAGCGCCAAAGAUUGCAAGGCUGCUUUCUCGGUGAUACUCGAGGAAACUAGAAAACAGAGGUCCUUUGUGGAGAACUUGGUUGCUCCGGUACUGGAAGAGAAAUUGUUCAAAUAGUCGUCAACAAAAUGCUAGGGCAGUUUGAAUGCCGAGUAACAGCUCCUAUAACCCACAACACAUUAAUAAUACCCUGUACAUCUCCUCCUUGUUUUUGUUGAUGAAGCUAAUUAGAUUAUAAGCACGCCUUGUGGUUUUCUAUUCCCUCCAUGUAUUAUAUCUGCCUCUCUAGCAGCAAUGACAAAAACAACACAACGUAUUGAUAAAAGCUACAGACUCUGCUACAGGAUUUUUUUUU